rnacentral:rRNA from 1 species
ACGUACACUCCUACGGGAGGCAGCAGUGGGGAAUUUUGGACAAUGGGCGAAAGCCUGAUCCAGCCAUGCCGCGUGCAGGAUGAAGGCCUUCGGGUUGUAAACUGCUUUUGUACGGAACGAAACGGCCUUUUCUAAUAAAGAGGGCUAAUGACGGUACCGUAAGAAUAAGCACCGGCUAACUACGUGCCAGCAGCCGCGGUAAUACGUAGGGUGCAAGCGUUAAUCGGAAUUACUGGGCGUAAAGCGUGCGCAGGCGGUUAUGUAAGACAGUUGUGAAAUCCCCGGGCUCAACCUGGGAACUGCAUCUGUGACUGCAUAGCUAGAGUACGGUAGAGGGGGAUGGAAUUCCGCGUGUAGCAGUGAAAUGCGUAGAUAUGCGGAGGAACACCGAUGGCGAAGGCAAUCCCCUGGACCUGUACUGACGCUCAUGCACGAAAGCGUGGGGAGCAAACAGGAUUAGAUACCCUGGUAGUCCC